GGUGGGGGUAGGACGGGCCUGGAGAGAGCUGGGGAAGAGAGGCAGCUCGCCUCGCUCUUCGGAUCCCCCAUCCUCGCCUCCUGUGAGUCUCGAGACCCUCAGCACAGCCACUUCUCCCCGGCUCUUGGCAGAGAGGACACGCGGCAGGCGUUGCCUUGGCAACGCCGGGAUGCCCAGCAACAAGUCCGUGGCGGGUGCCACGUGCCUGGCGCAGACCAAUCUGAGCUUCGGCCGGGAAGCAGGCUCCAUGCUCCUCCUUUGGAGCUGGGAAGUCAGAGCUGUCCUCCAUGUGGGAGGCAGAAUGGAAGAAUUAAGGCAGAGUGUUUCAGCUGCACUCCCACAAGUCAUGUAGCUGACAGUGAACUUGCCCCUUUAGUUUUGCAUCUGAGGCCACUGGCUCCCUCACCCUAGCCCCAGUCCUGAUUAUUUAUUUCCAACAUGCAAUCCACAAAAAUAUCAUUAAUUCCUCAUCUCAAUGCUCUGAGAAGGUACUACAAUCACCGUCAUUUCACAACUGGGGAAACUGAAGCAUGAAGAGGUUUGAUUGUACUGGAAUACCCACAGCAAGGAGGAGAAAAAUCUGAGUUUGAAGCCAAGUUCGUGUGUGUUUUGGCUCAGAGCCUGCUCAGGAAAGCAAAACAAUAAACUAAAGUUAUGAGUUUGAUUUUGAAUCA
rnacentral:lncRNA from 1 species